GAUGAACGCUGGCGGCGUGCCUAAUACAUGCAAGUAGAACGCUGAAGCUUGGUGCUUGCACCGAGCGGAUGAGUUGCGAACGGGUGAGUAACGCGUAGGUAACCUGCCUGGUAGCGGGGGAUAACUAUUGGAAACGAUAGCUAAUACCGCAUAACAGUAGAUAUUGCAUGAUAUCUGCUUGAAAGGUGCAAAUGCAUCACUACCAGAUGGACCUGCGUUGUAUUAGCUAGUUGGUGAGGUAACGGCUCACCAAGGCGACGAUACAUAGCCGACCUGAGAGGGUGAUCGGCCACACUGGGACUGAGACACGGCCCAGACUCCUACGGGAGGCAGCAGUAGGGAAUCUUCGGCAAUGGGGGGAACCCUGACCGAGCAACGCCGCGUGAGUGAAGAAGGUUCUCGGAUCGUAAAGCUCUGUUGUAAGAGAAGAACGAGUGUGAGAGUGGAAAGUUCACACUGUGACGGUAUCUUACCUGAAAGGGACGGCUAACUACGUGCCAGCAGCCGCAGUAA
rnacentral:rRNA from 1 species